GUCCAGAAUGAGUUGAGAUCACCGUUGAGCACCGUUUCUGUGCACCAAGCAACCCAUAUCAAACCAGCUUCAAAGAAGAGCAGCCAUAUCAAUUUUAAUAUACAAGCUUUGUUCCAAAUCUCAAGAAAAACUCCGCAUAGCGAGUUGAUUCGUUUGAUGCAAGCUUUCGGAAGCAUGAAGGAUGAACACCAGAAAUUUGUUAUUCCAGCGAUGACUGUCUUGAUAAGCAAGAGGCGUCCCGCAAAUGAUAAGGCUCUUACACUCCAUGAGUUGAACUUCCUUUUCACUUGUUGUAUCAAAACUUCACAGUUGAGUAAUGUAAGCUUUUUUUGUGCAUAGGGGCACGCCAAGGUACCGAACUGGGAGCGAUCCUUGCGGCAUGCCAGUGAUGAAUUGGAUAAGAUCACGUUCUGCGUCUGACAACCCCGAUGAGAAGAACGAGGACUUCUGGACACUCGCUGCCAAACCGGAACGAAGCUAAAAUUCCUUAAGUACUUGUAGAACAGCUUGGAGAGACUGGAAAGAGCCAUCCAAGAAGAUUAGGAGAUCGUCAGCAAAACAGAGAUGAGUCAUUCUGGCUGAUUCACAUCGUAGAUGAUAUUUGAACUUCAAUUCUCUAGCAGCUUGGUUCAGCAUGAGCGAUAAGUUAUUGAGGGCAAUGACAAACAGAUAGGGAGAUAGAGGAUCCCCUUGUUAAAUUUUUUCAUUACUAUUUUUGGCGAUCUUCAACCUGACAUACAUACAAUUCAUUACUUUUAAGGAAAAAUAAACAAAAACAUGCACAUAA